rnacentral:rRNA from 1 species
CAGCACCUCAAGUGGUCAGGAUGAUUAUUGGGCCUAAAGCAUCCGUAGUCGGCUCUGUAAGUUUUCGGUUAAAUCUGUACGCUCAACGUACAGGCUGCCGGGAAUACUGCAGCGCUAGGGAGUGGGAGAGGUAGACGGUACUCGGUAGGAAGGGGUAAAAUCCUUUGAUCUAUUGAUGACCACCUGUGGCGAAGGCGGUCUACCAGAACACGUCCGACGGUGAGGGAUGAAAGCUGGGGGAGCAAACCGGAUUAGAGACCCGAGUAGUCC